ACAGGACAAACAAGGCUGAACUGGCUGCUCUCCCCGCCGCCGUACACCUCCUCAUCGCCCUCAACCCUCGCUCUCCUCUCCUCAGCUCCCACCGAAACGAGCGACCAUGGAGCGUCCGGCAGGACGUUCUCGUGCGAUUGUGACGGAGUGAGACUCCUUCAGUGAACCUCGGACGGUGUUGACGGCACGCAUCGCCAUCAGCUCGCCUGGGGUCUCGAGCGGCGGGUCAAUGUGAUCCGCGUCUCUCGCACGGAUUGCUCGCUUCAGGGCUCGUUACAAACGUCGAAUUGAUGCUGAUCUCGGCGUACAGCGUCCUCAACAGGAGCGAUGAUGUCCUGGUUCACAAGCAGCCCGUCAAGUCUGCAGCGUUCGAGAUCCCGAACCAUCCCUGAAAGCUGAAGAAUACCCGCGCGCGCCGCUGCCGCCGCCGACUUCUCGCUCACAACAAGCCAUGAAGCACUCCAACCCGAAAAACGGCUCAGACGUACCCGCCAGCCCGCCCAGAUACCCUUCGACGCGACUAUCGACCUCUGCUGCAGGCGCCAUCGGCCAAGUCGCGGGCGUUGAGGCGAGUCGAGUUAUUGUUUGGCGAGAGGAGACGCGACGGGCGGACGAAGGGAGGGAAGAUGCGAGGAGCUGAGCCGGGUGCUGGAGGGCGUGUACGAACGUGCAACGUCGUUGUGGGUAUGCCCUGGCGGGAUCUGAGCGUG
rnacentral:misc_RNA from 1 species